CCCUUCAGUUGUUACUUCUGACGAAUUUGAUUCUCUACUCUGAGAGGGAAGUUCUCAUGCUUGAUGCUUUGUUUGCCGGCUUAUACUAGAGCAUAAAGACCCUCCUUUCAAAGAGAAGUCUACUUGCAUUUGUCUCUGUUGCUCUCUUCUUUGGUUAUCCUUCUCUUGCUUUUAAGGCAAGAAUUGGAAGGAGCUUAUUGAUGUAUAAGACUCUGUUUUAAACACUUACUUAUCUUUGUUAAG